rnacentral:rRNA from 1 species
GGGGGAGAGUUUGAUCCNUGGCUCAGAUUGAACGCUGGCGGCAGGCUUAACACAUGCAAGUCGAGCGGUAACAGGGGGUGCUUGCACCCUGCUGACGAGCGGCGGACGGGUGAGUAAUGCAUAGGAAACUGCCCAGUAGUGGGGGAUAGCCCGGGGAAACCCGGAUUAAUACCGCGUACGCCCUUCGGGGGAAAGCAGGGGAUCUUCGGACCUUGCGCUAUUGGAUGUGCCUAUGUCGGAUUAGCUAGUUGGUGGGGUAAAGGCCUACCAAGGCGACGAUCCGUAGCUGGUCUGAGAGGAUGAUCAGCCACAUCGGGACUGAGACACGGCCCGAACUCCUACGGGAGGCAGCAGUGGGGAAUAUUGGACAAUGGGGGCAACCCUGAUCCAGCCAUGCCGCGUGUGUGAAGAAGGCUUUCGGGUUGUAAAGCACUUUCAGUGAGGAGGAAAACUCUGCGACUAAUACUCGUAGGGCUUGACGUUACUCACAGAAGAAGCNCCGGCA